CUGAUGGCGACCGGCGCACGGGUGAGUAACACGUAUCCAACCUGCCGAUAACUCGGGGAUAGCCUUUCGAAAGAAAGAUUAAUACCCGAUGGUAUAAUCAGACCGCAUGGUUUGAUUAUUAAAGAAUUUCGGUUAUCGAUGGGGAUGCGUUCCAUUAGGCAGUUGGUGAGGUAACGGCUCACCAAACCUUCGAUGGAUAGGGGUUCUGAGAGGAAGGUCCCCCACAUUGGAACUGAGACGCGGUCCAA
rnacentral:rRNA from 1 species